rnacentral:tRNA from 1 species
UGUGUGGUGGCGCAGUUCGGUAGCGCAUCUGACUUUUAAUCAGACGGUCGUGGGUUCAAAUCCCAUCCACGCAACUA